UACGGGAGGCAGCAGUGGGGAAUAUUCACAAUGGGCGAAAGCCUGAUGCAGCAACGCCGCGUGAGUGAUGAAGGCCUUCGGGUCGUAAAGCUCUUUGAUCAGGGAUGAUAAUGACAGUACCUGAAAAACAAGCCACGGCUAACUACGUGCCAGCAGCCGCGGUAAUACGUAGGUGGCGAGCGUUGUCCGGAAUUACUGGGCGUAAAGGAUGCGUAGGUGGAUAUUUAAGUGGGAUGUGAAAUCCCCGGGCUCAACCCGGGAACUGCAUUCCAAACUGGGUAUCUAGAGUGCAGGAGAGGAAAGCGGAAUUCCUAGUGUAGCGGUGAAAUGCGUAGAUAUUAGGAGGAACACCAGUGGCGAAGGCGGCUUUCUGGACUGUAACUGACACUGAGGCAUGAAAGCGUGGGUAGCAAACAGGAUUAGAUACCCUGGUAGUCCACGCCGUAAACGAUGGGUACUAGGUGUAGGAGGUAUCGACCCCUUCUGUGCCGUCGUUAACACAAUAAGUACCCCGCCUGGGGAGUACGGUCGCAAGACU
rnacentral:rRNA from 1 species